rnacentral:rRNA from 1 species
CCCUUAGAUGUUCUGGGCCGCACGCGCGCUACACUGAUGCAAGCAACAAGUCUUCCUGCACCGAUAGGUGUGGGUAAUCUUUGGAAAUUGCAUCGUGAUGGGGCUUGACGAUUGUAAUUAUUUGUCACAAACGAGGAAUUCCUAGUAAGCGCAAGUCAUCAGCUUGCAUUGAUUACGUCCCUGCCCUUUGUACACACCGCCCGUCGCUUCUACCGAUUGAGUGCUCCGGUGAAUUUUCCGGAUUCGACUGUUUUCUGGUUUCCAGGGAUGGUCGGAGAAGUUAUGUAAACCUUAGCACUUAGAGGAAGAAAAAGUCGUAACA